rfam:Felis catus isolate Cinnamon breed Abyssinian chromosome A3, whole genome shotgun sequence.
GCCUGGGUGGCUCAGUCGGUUGAGUGGCUGACUUCGGCUCAGGUCAUGAUCUCAUGGUCUGUGAGUUCAAGCCCCACGUCGGGCU